rnacentral:rRNA from 1 species
UGGGAGGCUUUGAAGUGUGGACGCCAGUCUGCAUGGAGCCGACCUUGAAAUACCACCCUUUAAUGUUUGAUGUUCUAACGUGGGCCCCUUACCGGGGUUGCGGACAGUGUCUGGUGGGUAGUUUGACUGGGGCGGUCUCCUCCUAAAGAGUAACGGAGGAGCACGAAGGUUGGCUAAUCCUGGUCGGACAUCAGGAGGUUAGUGCAAUGGCAUAAG